rnacentral:rRNA from 1 species
UCAAUAAGCGGAGGAAAAGAAACUAACAAGGAUUCCCCUAGUAACGGCGAGUGAAGAGGGAAGAGCCCAAGAUUGAAAGCUGGCGUCUUCGGCGUCCGCAUUGUAAUCUCAAGAAGUGUUUUCCGCUUCGGACCAAGCCUAAGUCCCCUGGAAAGGGGCAUCAUAGAGGGUGAUAAUCCCGUACAUGGCUUGGAGCGCCCGAGGCUUUGUGAUACGCUUUCUAAGAGUCGAGUUGUUUGGGAAUGCAGCUCAAAAUGGGUGGUAAAUGCCAUCUAAGGCUAAAUAUUGGGGAGAGACCGAUAGCGAACAAGUACAGUGAUGGAAAGAUGAAAAGAACUUUGAAAAGAGAGUUAAACAGUACGUGAAAUUGCCAAAAGGGAAGGGUAGGAGGUCAGAGAUGCGGCCUGGGAUUCAGCCUUGCUUUUGCUUGGUGUUUUUCCCAGAUUGCAGGCCAACGUCGGUUUUGGGCACUGGAGAAGGGUAGGAGGAACGUGGCACCCCUCGGGGUGUGUUAUAGCCUCCUACUGGAUACAGCGACCGAGACCGAGGACAGCAGCGUACUCGCAAGAGCGGGCCUUCGGGCACCUUUACGCUUAGGGCGUUGGCAUAAUGGCCCUCUACCACCCGUCUUGAAACACGGA